UGGGGAAUAUUGCACAAUGGGCGCAAGCCUGAUGCAGCCAUGCCGCGUGUGUGAAGAAGGCCUUCGGGUUGUAAAGCACUUUCAGCGAGGAGGAAGGUGGUGAGCUUAAUACGCUCAUCAAUUGACGUUACUCGCAGAAGAAGCACCGGCUAACUCCGUGCCAGCAGCCGCGGUAAUACGGAGGGUGCAAGCGUUAAUCGGAAUUACUGGGCGUAAAGCGCACGCAGGCGGUUUGUUAAGUCAGAUGUGAAAUCCCCGGGCUCAACCUGGGAACUGCAUUUGAAACUGGCAAGCUAGAGUCUCGUAGAGGGGGGUAGAAUUCCAGGUGUAGCGGUGAAAUGCGUAGAGAUCUGGAGGAAUACCGGUGGCGAAGGCGGCCCCCUGGACGAAGACUGACGCUCAGUGCGAAAGCGUGGGAGCAAACAGGAUUAGAUACCCUGGUAGUCCACGCUGUAAAACGAUGUCGAUUUUGGAGGUUGUGCCCUUGAGGCGUGGCUUCCGGAGCUAACGCGUUAAAUCGACCGCCUGGGGAGUACGGCCGC
rnacentral:rRNA from 1 species